rnacentral:rRNA from 1 species
CAGACUCCUACGGGAGGCAGCAGUGAGGAAUAUUGGUCAAUGGACGAGAGUCUGAACCAGCCAAGUAGCGUGCAGGAUGACGGCCCUAUGGGUUAGUAAACUGCUUUUAUAAGGGAAUAAAGUGAGUCUCGUGAGACUUUUUGCAUGUACCUUAUGAAUAAGGACCGGCUAAUUCCGUGC